rnacentral:rRNA from 1 species
AUACGGAGGAUCCGAGCGUUAUCCGGAUUUAUUGGGUUUAAAGGGAGCGUAGGCGGACGCUUAAGUCAGUUGUGAAAGUUUGCGGCUCAACCGUAAAAUUGCAGUUGAUACUGGGUGUCUUGAGUACAGUAGAGGCAGGCGGACUUCGUGGUGUAGCGGUGAAAUGCUUAGAUAUCACGAAGAACUCCGAUUUCGAAGGCAGCCUGCUGGACUGUAACUGACGCUGAUGCUCGAAAGUGUGGGUAUCAAACAGGAUUAGAUACCCUGGUAGUCCACACAGUAAACGAUGAAUACUCGCUGUUUGCGAUAUACAGUAAGCGGCCAAGCGAAAGCGUUAAGUAUUCCACCUGGGGAGUACGCCGGCAACGGUGAAACUCAAAUGAAUUGACGGGG